rnacentral:rRNA from 1 species
UAAUACAUCGGAACGUACCUUAUCGUGGGGGAUAACGCAGCGAAAGCUGUGCUAAUACCGCAUACGCCCUGAGGGGGAAAGCGGGGGAUCGAAAGACCUCGCGCGAUUAGAGCGGCCGAUGCCUGAUUAGCUUGUUGGUGGGGUAAAAGCCCACCAAGGCGACGAUCAGUAGCUGGCCUGAGAGGACGAUCAGCCACACUGGGACUGAGACACGGCCCAGACUCCUACGGGAGGCAGCAGUGGGGAAUUUUGGACAAUGGGGGAAACCCUGAUCCAGCAAUGCCGCGUGAGUGAAGAAGGCCUUCGGGUUGUAAAGUUCUUUUGUCAGGGAAGAAACACCGGCUCUAACACAGUCCGGGAAUGACGGUACCUGAAGAAUAAGCACCGGCUAACUACGUGCCAGCAGCCGCGGUAAUACGUA